CUGAGUUGUAAGUGCAUCAACCCGGUUUAGAACUUGGCUAGCUGUUGCUAACUAGUUGAAAGUAGCCGGGAGCUGAUUUGAAAUGUCUGAAAAAUUUAUGUUCUUUCUGCUUGCCUUUUAACCUAUCCAUUUUAAGAUUUUUGACACUGGAAAUGUACUCCCCGCCUCUGGAAAUGUACACCCUGCCUUUAUUUAUUGUUACGCUUGGUGCUCUCUCAAGAUAAUUUGCUAAGUCCAAUCCAGAUCAUGUUACUCUGUGUUCCAGUUUAAUUGAUGAUUUUAGUUGCAACUUUCUGCUCCCCCUGCGCAUCAAUGUAAAGCACAUUUUUUGUUUGAAAACUUUGCAAUUGAUUAUGCGUGUUGUUAGUGUUCAAAAGUUCUAUCGAUAGAUUUGAUUCAAAAUAUUUUGUAAUAAUUAACAGUAUAUUGUAAGAGAAAUUGAAGGUCAAAAUUGACGUUUGAAGGCCUUCUAAUACAAAAUACUCCUUAGAUUGAUGGACAGAGGAGAAGCUUGUAAUAUGUUCAACUAUUAUGCAAAUUGGGUCAUCGGUGUCUUUACGUGCAUAAUGCUCUCUUGUUUGAACAUAGUUGUACCAAAUCUACUAAUGUAUUAGUUUUAUUCUCUCUGUUGGGAUCUAGCAUAUUAGUGACUGGGCGAUCCUGCUGCAUUCCUGACUAAUUACAAUCAAUCUUGAACUACAUUCAGAUUCGAAGUACCUAUUCCUUGCCCUGGUGGAUCUCUUUUAUGUUUUAACAAAAUAAAUGCUUGCAAAAUAAUUUAACUUAUAUUUGUUGUGACUGAUUUGUUUAUUAGUUCAGCUCUCAUAUUUGGAAUCUGAAAACCUGAGGAUCUCAUAGUGUUUUCUGUAUUAUGUUUGGUUAAAUUCUUAGCAAAUUGUUACUGUGAUCGAUGGAGGAACGGCCCUGUGUUCUGCCUCUUAGUUGUACUGUGAUCAAUUAUAUGAAUCUAGCGAUUCUGCCAGCCUUUUCUGCAGCAGCAGAUUUGCAGCUUUUUCAUUGUGCUUGGUGCAAUUAUCAGGUUCACCAACUCCUAUGGUGCUAGGAUGGGGUCAAAGUGCUGAAAGAUCAUAUUAAUGUUGCUUCUACUGCUUGCCAUUUGCAUGCUGCUGCUGCGGAGCUGCUAUUCAGUGUAAAUAAUUUAAAUGUUUAGUCAGUCAGUAACAUGCUGUGGUUCAUCUAAGCUACAUGUCCAUUGCGUGCCUAGUUAGCUACAUGCUUUUGAUCUGUCCUUUGUGGUACUUGGCAUAAAGAGUUCCCUGUAAUUGCCUUUUAUGCUUGUCAUGAAAAAGGAAAUUGAUAAUUGAUGCUUUGUUCCUGCUGAGUUGUUUGUGGGGCCUUUCAUGUAAUUCUUUUGUGGAAGCAUUGUUAUGGAUCAUUUCUUUUUAACUUGCAUAUAGUUUCAAUCUUGGAUGCAUGUGCUUCAGCCCAUUAUUGAUGUCUGAAACGUAUCCUUGGAUGACAUGAAAAGGUGAUAUCCCUGGGAGUAGAAAAAGAAGAUGUUUCUCAAAGUGGCUGACAGCUGAGAUGAGGAUAUGGCAAAGUGCUGAUCGUCGUUGCCGAUGGAGACAGGAAUAGCAAAAUGAACAGAUGAUUACGUUUGUGACCUCUGAUUGCAAGGGUGAGGCGGCAAGUGGAUUGUGCGCAGAGGUCCAACAAGGGAAUUCUCUUCGAGUGGUGGGUUAAAGUGGCUUAUCUUAAUGUGCAUCUGAUCCUCUCUCAGGCCUGCGAUAGCGAGAUUCAAAUUAAAGUAUGGCACCUCCUCGAUAAUGUUCCUGUUUCGCCGCUUUAUCCAUGGAAAAGCAAUGCCUCCUAUCUACCACCCAAGAAAGCCUUUGCAAGUGAAAUUUCCAACAUGGAAGAUUCUCCCGUGUGGGGCUGGUAAAUAAUUUGGUCUGGUUCUGGUCUGUUUUCGGCUAGGCACACUGGUGCCAUAAUCGAAAUGUCACAUGAAGGCUGGCAGGUGCAUCUGAAUCAAGUCCAUUGCUCAGUCUGUGGCCCGGGAAGAGCUAGCUGUUCUUUGAAAAAAAAAAACAGAGAGAGGGAGCGAGAGAAUGAAAAAUUUGACUGUGCAUGAUGUAUCGUUGGUAAAACUUCCUUUGUCGUGGCG